GGACGGGUCUUGGGUGCUGUGUCCCCUCCCACAUCCAGCGCCCUACACAUCAGUUCCAGCGGGCUCUCCCUGAGUUACACCUUUUUUCCAAUAAACAGCUCCUUCUGCUGAGGAUGCCAACUCCCCGAUGCCCAUUCCCAUUCCUCAGACUCAUGUAUUGUUGAAGAUACUUCUCAGGUGCUACCUCCUCUGUUAGUCUAUUCCUCUUCUGAACCCGUAAAACUUUGAAUCACGCUGA